rnacentral:rRNA from 1 species
GAUGAACGCUGGCGGCGUGCCUAAUACAUGCAAGUCGAGCGAAUGGAUUAAGAGCUUGCUCUUAUGAAGUUAGCGGCGGACGGGUGAGUAACACGUGGGUAACCUGCCCAUAAGACUGGGAUAACUCCGGGAAACCGGGGCUAAUACCGGAUAACAUUUUGAACCGCAUGGUUCGAAAUUGAAAGGCGGCUUCGGCUGUCACUUAUGGAUGGGCCCGCGUCGCAUUAGCUAGUUGGGGAGGUAACGGCUCACCAAGGCAACGAUGCGUAGCCGACCUGAGGGGGGGACCGGCCAAACUGGGACUGAGACACGGCCCAGACUCCUACGGGAGGCAGCAGUAGGGAAUCUUCCGCAAUGGACGAAAGUCUGACGGAGCAACGCCGCGUGAGUGAUGAAGGCUUUCGGGUCGUAAAACUCUGUUGUUAGGGAAGAACAAGUGCUAGUUGAAUAAGCUGGCACCUUGACGGUACCUAACCAGAAAGCCACGGCUAACUACGUGCCAGCCGCCGCAGUAA